rnacentral:rRNA from 1 species
UACGAAGGGGGCUAGCGUUGCUCGGAAUCACUGGGCGUAAAGCGCACGUAGGCGGAUUGCUAAGUCAGGGGUGAAAUCCUGGAGCUCAACUCCAGAACUGCCUUUGAUACUGGCGACCUUGAGUCCGGGAGAGGUGAGUGGAACUGCGAGUGUGGAGGUGAAAUUCGUAGAUAUUCGCAAGAACACCAGUGGCGAAGGCGGCUCACUGGCCCGGUACUGACGCUGAGGUGCGAAAGCGUGGGGAGCAAACAGG